CUUUAUCCGCUGAGUCAAAUGUAUAAACUGAGUCCUCAUGGCUGAAAUGGAGUACUGCGGGGUAUUUCAUGGAGUAUUGGAUGCCCAGGUUCCUCAGCCUCUUUUUAACUUCAUUGAAGGACUUCCUCUUUUGAAUUAAAGCUGUCGAAAAAUCAUGGAAAAACAUGAUUUUUGACCCGUUGUGCAGCAAUGCCUGUGCAGCUUCUAUGAUUUUUGUUUGUCCUUAUAUGAAUGGAAGUGCACUUGGACCGAGCGUGGGUGCUGCACUGGCCAUGACCUGUGCACUGUAACCCGAUAAGCCCUUCAAUCUGCAGCCUGCUGAAUUCGAUGUGAAGGCCCAAAAACUGCAGCAGCCAGCUUUCAAAGAAGUUGACUGGCUGCUCACACACCUCGCCUUCAGGGAGCCUGACAGUUCGGAGAUUCAUCCUCUGACCUCGAUUUUCGAGGUCGUCGAUAUGGUUUCGCAAUGCCCGCACCUCUCGCUCCAGCACCUGGAUCUAACUGGAUGAGGACUACGUUGCAGCUUCCAAAACCUUAGUUCAACCCUCCAUCUCCUCCAGCCGCUUCCCGAGGCCCUGGAUCUCCUGCUCAUGCUUCAGCAGCAUGGAUGCGAUAGGUUGGACCUGAGGAUGGAUGAAUCUCCCCACGAUCUCCUCAAUCGCAGCCCCAACUUUCAAGAAAGAAGAAAAAGAAGUGAUGAAUAGUCUGCAG